GACCCGUCACAUUAAGACUUAUAAAGUGUAGAUUCAUUAUUUUUCGUUGGAUACCAAUUUUUCGUGGAUUUGUAGGUACAGUUAAACCACGAAAUUAAAUGUUCAGCUAAGGACAAAUUUUUGUGUAAGUUUGUUUGCAGGUUUCGGCAUGAAAUUGAAUAUCCACGAACAAGCAAGUUUUCCUUAAUCCACGAAAAUUGGUAACCAUGGAAAUAAAUGAAUCCACAGCAGUUCAUAGCAAUACAUUACAAAUUUAAUACACUAGAUGAAAAACAUAUGUCAUAAAACAGAAUAACAUAAUCUUCAAAUAUACAAUUUAAAUUUUCAAUUUGAUAAAGUAUCUUAUGAUAGCAC
rnacentral:lncRNA from 1 species